GGGCUCAGAUAGAAAAAUAAAGCUGCUAAACGCAUUUCCCAUUUGACUGGAGUUAUACAAACCAAGUUUGAAGCAUCAAAACUGAGCUGGAGUCCAAAGUCAACUUAUAUCUUAGAUAAUUUCAAAAGUACAUCAAAAGUCCAACUAUUUUAUUUUGAAAAUACUACAUAUAUGCAUAUUUAUGCAUGUGUGUGUAUAUCCAGUCGCCCUCGAUCCAAAUAGCAGAGAGCUAGCUUUCAUACCCUUGAAUACCUACCAUACUUGCCCAUUCAAGGGCAUGAAAGCUAGCUGAUUAAUGAUAUUUGGAUCGGGAGCGAGUAGACUCGCUCUCGCGAAUACUUUCGGUUGCUAGCUACACCAUUGUUUGCUAAUUUGCAGCUUUAGGGACCCACCCGAUGGAAUCAUACGAGCCAUGAAGGUUCACAUUGC
rnacentral:lncRNA from 1 species